rnacentral:rRNA from 1 species
CCGUAGCCCAAGAGAUCGGGAUAACACCUGGAAACAGAUGCUAAUACCGGAUAACAACAGAUGAUGCCUAUCAACUGUUUAAAAGAUGGUUCUGCUAUCACUCUUGGAUGGACCUGCGGUGCAUUAGCUAGUUGGUAGGGUAACGGCCUACCAAGGCGAUGAUGCAUAGCCGAGUUGAGAGACUGAUCGGCCACAUUGGGACUGAGACACGGCCCAAACUCCUACGGGAGGCAGCAGCU